UACGAAGGGGGCAAGCGUUGUUCGGAUUUACUGGGCGUAAAGGGCGCGCAGGCGGCUCUUCAAGUCAUACGUGAAAUCCCUCGGCUUAACCGGGGAACUGCGUCUGAUACUGGAUGGCUUGAGAUUGGGAGAGGGAUGCGGAAUUCCAGGUGUAGCGGUGAAAUGCGUAGAUAUCUGGAGGAACACCGGUGGCGAAGGCGGCAUCCUGGACCAACACUGACACUGAGGAGCGAAAGCCAGGGGAGCAAACGGG
rnacentral:rRNA from 1 species